CCUACGGGUGGCAGCAGUGAGGAAUAUUGGUCAAUGGACGAAAGUCUGACCCAGCAACGCCGCGUGAAGGAUGACUGCCCUAUGGGUUGUAACCUUCUUUUAUAAAGGAAUAAAACGAGGCACGUGUGCCUUUUUGCAUGUACUUUAUGAAUAAGGAUCGGCUAACUCCGUGCCAGCAGCCGCGGUAAUACGGAGGAUCCGAGCGUUAUCCGGAUUUAUUGGGUUUAAUGGGAGCGUAGAUGGGUUGUUAAGUCAGUUGUGAAAGUUUGCGGCUCAACCGUAAAAUUGCAAUUGAUACUGGCAGUCUUGAGUACAGGUGAGGUAGGCGGAAUUCGUGGUGUAGCGGUGAAAUGCUUAGAUAUUACGAAGAACCCCGAUUGCGAAGGCAGCUUACUAAACUGUGACUGACAUUGAUGCUCGAAAGUGUGGGUAUCAAACAGGAUUAGAUACCCGUGUAGUC
rnacentral:rRNA from 1 species